UUCCUUCUUUACUGUUACUUUUUUGGUUCUUUCUUUUCUACUCUUCUUCUCUAUCUUUCUCCAUGUUAUUUGAGGAAAACAAUUAGGAAGGUUCUCAAUUUCUAAUUUUACACUUAGAUCUAUUUCAGAAAUGCAUUAACACAAAAUGUCUGGUGUGUUCGACUGUGUUGAUCAAGUACUGCCAUUAGAGUCCUCUUUUUAUGGUUAAAAAUUGUUGACCUGAGGAAUCAUCCAGAGACAAUAUGGUACGAAUGUGCGAGAUUGGAGGCAAAAAGGAGCGAAACGGGGAAAUUGCCAUAAAGUAGCGCCACAGGCAGCAUGGGGCGCUACCUGUGGCGCAGAAGUCAGAAUGCCAGAAAUUCCACCGCCAGGGCUAGUGCCCCACGCUAUCUUGGGUGCUGGUGACUGAAAAGUUCUCUUAGUUCGUCCGAGACAAGGUUAUUUCGGCCCAAGACUCCCCUCUCCCCAACUCGUAUAAAAGGAAGACUAAGCCUAUUUUGAGGAGGGAGACGCCACUUCGAGGGAAGAAUACACAUGAGGAACAACCGGGAGCGGGGAUAUCUCAAUUUUCUUCAUCGUUUCUUAGUAUUCUCAAUUAUUCAACACUUGUGAAUUUGUUUUGAUGUUAUCAUGAGUGGCUAAAACCCAUAGUUCUGGGGUAGUGAUUUAGCCAUGAAUAUUGUUGAUUGACGUUGACUUAACCUUAAUUAUAAAUUGCUAAUACAUGGUUAUUUUUUCAA